UAACGGAGGGUGCGAGCGUUAAUCGGAAUCACUGGGCGUAAAAGCGUGCGUAGGCGGCGCAUCAAGUCAGGCGUGAAAGCCCUCGGCUCAACCGAGGAAUUGCGCUUGAAACUGGUGUGCUUGAGUCUCGGAGAGGUUGGCGGAAUUCCAGGUGUAGGAGUGAAAUCCGUAGAUAUCUGGAGGAACACCGGUGGCGAAGGCGGCCAACUGGACGAGUACUGACGCUGAGGUACGAAAGCGUGGGGAGCAAACAGG
rnacentral:rRNA from 1 species